GGCAGAAAACUUCCCAUAACUGUGUAGAAGACAAAUCCUUCCACUAUCCCUGGACUUCUAGCAAAAAGACACCUGGCUGCUGCGUUAGAACAAGGGAGAGCUGCUACUCCAUUUACUUGAAUAUACUAACCCCACCUCACCCUCAAGUGAGGCAUGGUUCAUCUCUACCAAGAAAUUCAGGCAACUACACGAACAGAGCUCAGCAUUACCAGCACCUACCUGCCUUAAUGUAAUGGCCAUAAGGAAUAUCUUUCUGUAGUUUUUUUUCCAGUGAAGAUAGCUUUUGCUCACGCUCAGCUGGCAAAACAAGGUAGUAGUGAAUUUGGCUAGUUAAGAGACAUGUGAACAACAGCAACCAUGAAUUCUCACAAGAAUGCAGUUCCACAACUCUGCUGACCGACUCUUAUACCCAUGCAAACUUCAGUGAGGGCUGUCGGACUCCAUGUGGAUACAGGGCUUACCCAACGCAGAGUCAACUGCACUCAGGUUGAAUAAUCUAGGAAUCUCAGGA